rnacentral:rRNA from 1 species
UACGAAGGGGGCUAGCGUUGUUCGGAUUUACUGGGCGUAAAGCGCACGUAGGCGGAUCGUUAAGUCGGGGGUGAAAUCCUGGAGCUCAACUCCAGAACUGCCUUCGAUACUGGCGAUCUUGAGUCCGGAAGAGGUGAGUGGAACUCCUAGUGUAGAGGUGGAAUUCGUAGAUAUUAGGAAGAACACCAGUGGCGAAGGCGGCUCACUGGCUCACUACUGACGCUGAGGCGCGAAAGCGUGGGGAGCAAACAGG